GCCCUUCCUACGGGAGGCAGCAGUGGGGAAUAUUGCACAAUGGGCGAAAGCCUGAUGCAGCGACGCCGCGUGGGGGAUGACGGCCUUCGGGUUGUAAACCUCUUUCAGUAGGGAAGAAGCGAGAGUGACGGUACCUGCAGAAGAAGCGCCGGCUAACUACGUGCCAGCAGCCGCGGUAAUACGUAGGGCGCAAGCGUUGUCCGGAAUUAUUGGGCGUAAAGAGCUUGUAGGUGGCUUGUCGCGUCUGCCGUGAAAACCCGAGGCUCAACCUCGGGCGUGCGGUGGGUACGGGCAGGCUAGAGUGUGGUAGGGGAGACUGGAACUCCUGGUGUAGCGGUGAAAUGCGCAGAUAUCAGGAAGAACACCGAUGGCGAAGGCAGGUCUCUGGGCCAUUACUGACACUGAGAAGCGAAAGCAUGGGUAGCGAACAGGAUUAGAUACCCUGGUAGUCCAUGCCGUAAACGUUGGGCACUAGGUGUGGGGGGCAUUCCACGUUCUCCGCGCCGUAGCUAACGCAUCAAGUGCCCCGCCUGGGGAGUACGGCCGCAAGGCUAAAACUCAAAGGAAUUGACGGAAGGGC
rnacentral:rRNA from 1 species